UACAGAGGGUGCAAGCGUUGUUCGGAAUUAUUGGGCGUAAAGGGCGCGUAGGCGGUUUGACAAGUCUGAUGUGAAAUCUCUGGGCUCAACCCAGAGUCUGCAUUAGAAACUGUCGGGCUUGAGUAUGGGAGAGGUGAGUGGAAUUUCCGGUGUAGCGGUGAAACGCGUAGAUAUCGGAAGGAACACCUGUGGCGAAAGCGGCUCACUGGACCAUAACUGACGCUGAGGCGCGAAAGCUAGGGGAGCAAACAGG
rnacentral:rRNA from 1 species